rnacentral:rRNA from 1 species
GACGAACCGUGCGAACGUUAUUCGGAAUCACUGGGCUUAAAGGGCGCGUAGGCGGGCGGCCAAGUCAGAGGUGAAAGCCUCCAGCUCAACUGGAGAAGUGCCUUUGAUACUGGUCAUCUCGAGGGAGAUAGGGGCGUGCGGAACUUCCGGUGGAGCGGUGAAAUGCGUAGAUAUCGGAAGGAACACCGGUGGCGAAAGCGGCGCGCUGGAUCUCUUCUGACGCUGAGGCGCGAAAGCCAGGGGAGCGAACGGG